AUUGAACGCUGGCGGCAUGCUUUACACAUGCAAGUCGAACGGCAGCGCGGGCUUCGGCCUGGCGGCGAGUGGCGAACGGGUGAGUAAUGCAUCGGAACGUGCCCAGUAGUGGGGGAUAGCCCGGCGAAAGCCGGAUUAAUACCGCAUACGACCUGAGGGUGAAAGCGGGGGACCGAAAGGCCUCGCGCUAUUGGAGCGGCCGAUGUCGGAUUAGCUAGUUGGUGGGGUAAAGGCUUACCAAGGCGACGAUCCGUAGCUGGUCUGAGAGGACGACCAGCCACACUGGGACUGAGACACGGUCCAGACUCCUACGGGAGGCAGCAGUGGGGAAUUUUGGACAAUGGGGGCAACCCUGAUCCAGCCAUGCCGCGUGCGGGAAGAAGGCCUUCGGGUUGUAAAGCGCUUUUGUUCGGGAAGAAAUCCUCUGGGCUAAUACCCCGGGGGGAUGACGGUACCGGAAGAAUAAGCACCGGCUAACUACGUG
rnacentral:rRNA from 1 species